rnacentral:lncRNA from 1 species
CUUCCAUUGUUACAUACUUAAUGAUGCUUUAUUCUUGUUGCAUAAUUGAAGGAGAUUACAGUUUAAAAGUAAUAUUUAAAAAUGGAUUAUCUAAAUGUAUACUGCCUAUUAUGUUGGCUCAGUACAUUGUGUGUAUAGGUAGUAAAGCAUUUUAGGGAUUAAGUCGUAAUUAAUUUUUUAUCACUUUAAUUUCUUAUGUGACUUCUUAUGCUCCUUUGCCUGCAUAUUCUCUAACAGGAAUUUUCUGAAGAUACCUGAACAUUUUUAUCCAGCUGCUAAGAAAUAUCUCUUGGUACAACUCAUAUAGAACCAACCCAGAUGAGGACAUGGACAGAAAUGUCAGGAGUAUAACAUGGAAGGUGUUCCAGAUGUGGACAUUCUCAUUUCCUGUUCAAGAAAAGACAAUUUGAUAGGAAUGAAGAGGGCAUACUCUGUAACAGGUAUGGCAAACUUUUCCUGUAACAGGUCAGAUAGUAAAGGUUUGCCUUUUGAGCCAUGUGAUCUUUGUUGUUACUACUCAAGUUGGUAGCAAAGGCAAAGACAGUGUGUAAAAGAAUGAGUGGGCUGCAUUCCAGUAACCUUUAUUUAUGGGCACUGAAAUUUGAACUUCAUGUGAUUUUCACUUGGGAUGAAAUUCUUCUUCCUUUAGUGUUUUUCAACUAUUUAAAAAUCUAACAACCAUGCUUCAUUCACAGGCUGUUAAAAAGAUAACAAAACACAAGUGGGCAGACCAGAUUUGGCCUGUAGGCUAUAGUCUGCUGACUCCUAUUCUUCAAGACGAACACAUAAGAAGAGAUGAUGUCUUAGUUUCAGAACUCCCAGUGGCCAGAAGAAUCCCUAGAAAAUUCAGAUGCAGCCCUCAUGAAAAGAUAAGGAUGCUUGUCACUGGACUAUUCUUUACUGUGAAUUUGGCAGUGGAAUGCCAACUGAAAUGAAGCAGAUGGUUGGAGGAUUUAGAUGUAGCUAAUCCUUAUAUAUAUUUGCCUUACAUGCCUUUUUGAAUAUUCCUUCCAAGAAAGUAGUAAUGGCAAAGAUUUCCAGUUUUUAUCAAUUGUCAUCAAUGGAGCUACCCUUUCCUUGUGGAAAACCUUGGGAGAGAGUUUGAUUCCCAGAUAGCAUUGCACUCUUAAAUGAGAGAUGGGCCAUUAGUCAUGUAGGUGAUAGCUUCACAAAAUUGCGGGAAGUAUUAGUUUCCAAAUCUGCAGCUGACCUCAUCUCUAGAGGUGUGCUAAUGAAUCAGAUGAGGCCAGUGUUUUCUGGAAACUAGAGUAAAUAACUAAUGUUAAGUAAAUUACCUAAAUUACUAAAUGGGACAUUGGAUUCCUUGAAGAAUUAAAUUCACCUCAUGUGAAUGAGCGAUUUCUUUCAACAGGUAAUUUAUUUAAUAGUAAGCUCAGCCAGCAUAUGGUAAUACAGGUCACAUCCUAUUGAAGGAAAAGAAUUUGCAUUUUAAACGUCUUUCCAGUUUCUCAGCCAGUGGCUUGAUUCUUUCACACAUCUGAAUGCAAAAAACAGUAAACAAGUGCUCUGGUCAACUGCUUGUAGGUGGAUAAAAAAGUGGUAGUUCCCACAUAAUUGUUUCAUUCUUUUGGUAUUCUUUUGGUAGAAUGAAUUAUUCUGAAUGAUUGUAGAAAAUCUUUUUUUGUGUAUGAUUCAGUGCAAUCUUUAAUUUGAAAUAAAGAGUAAGAAAGCCAAUUGAUACA